rnacentral:rRNA from 1 species
GGGGAAUAUUGGACAAUGGGCGAAAGCCUGACCCAGCAACGCCGCGUGAAGGAAGAAGGCCCUCGGGUUGUAAACUUCUUUUAUCAGGGACGAAACAAAUGACGGUACCUGAUGAAUAAGUCCCGGCUAACUACGUGCCAGCAGCCGCGGUAAUACGUAGGGGACAAGCGUUGUCCGGAUUUACUGGGCGUAAAGGGCACGCAGGCGGUUUUUUAAGUCAGAUGUGAAAGGUACCGGCUCAACCGGUGACAUGCAUUUGAAACUGAAAGACUUGAGUAUUGGAGAGGCAAGUGGAAUUCCUAGUGUAGCGGUGAAAUGCGUAGAUAUUAGGAGGAACACCGGUGGCGAAGGCGGCUUGCUGGACAAAUACUGACGCUGAGGUGCGAAAGCGUGGGGAGCAAACA